UCUUAUGUACAUGCCUAGAACGUUAAUGCAUCGGAUCCAAUAAGAACUUUGUAGUUAAGCAUGCUUGGGGUAGAGUAGUACUAGGAUGGGUGACCUCCCAGGAAGUUCUACGUAUGUCAUUU
rnacentral:rRNA from 1 species